AUGGUUUUCAUCUGAGCCAGUGCUAGCUCGUGAGAUCUGGCUAUGUCGAUAGCUUUGUCCAGCGUUAGCUCAGACCCAACAUUCAAAAGUUUCUCUCUCACUCGCGGUGAGUGUAUUCCAAAUACAAUACGGUCCCUGACCAUCUCAUCCUUGUUUGCAUAAUCACAGUCUUUCACAAGCAGACGCAGCUCUGUCACAAACUGUUCAAAAGACUCGCUAGCUCCCUGUACUUUCUCAUGGAAUUUGUACCUAGCGAAAAUCGUAUUGGUCUUCGGCACAACAUAUGCUUCAAAACGAUCGUAGUAUGUUUUCAGUACCUUUGAUUCAGCCUCGAGGACCCGUGAACAUUAGCUCCACAUGCUGUUUGAACUUACGCCAUGCAUCUGGUAAAUUUGUAGACUUCCAGUCCAUUCGAGAUGAAGGAACUCCAGAAGAAUCCAUAUUAAUUACCCACCAAUCCAGGAUCAAGCAGCGUGAUAAGCGGCAACAGGA